rfam:Human rotavirus A strain RMC321 nonstructural protein nsp2 gene, complete cds.
GGAAUUUAAUUCGCUUCGAUUCAAGAAUGAGAUACGAAGCAAGAAUAGAAAGCGCUUAUGUGACC